rnacentral:piRNA from 1 species
UGCCGCUGUUCAGAGAGGUGGAUAUGGU